CCCUUAGAUGUCCUGGGCCGCACGCGCGCUACACUGAGUGUCUGAGAUACGUGUCUGCCUGGUCCGGCAAGGUCUAGGUAAUCGCUAAAAGACACAUCAUGCUUGGGAUAGAUUAUUGCAAAUAUUAAUCUUGAACGAGGAAUUCCUAGUAAGCGCAAGUCAACAGCUUGCGUUGAUUACGUCCCUGCCCUUUGUACACACCGCCCGUCGCUACUACUGAUUGGAUGUUUAAGCGAGGUUCUCGAACUGCUAGCGACUUAGCUUCGGUGAGGUCGCAGUGUGGGAAGUGAACCUAGCUUUGGUGUCUAGAGGAAGUAAAAGUCGUAACA
rnacentral:rRNA from 1 species